UCCUACGGGAGGCAGCAGUAAGGAAUAUUGGUCAAUGGAGGCAACUCUGAACCAGCCAUGCCGCGUGCAGGAAGACGGCCCUACGGGUUGUAAACUGCUUUUAUAUGGGAAGAAACCUUUGGACGUGUCCGAAGCUGACGGUACCAUAUGAAUAAGGGUCGGCUAACUCCGUGCCAGCAGCCGCGGUAAU
rnacentral:rRNA from 1 species